rnacentral:misc_RNA from 1 species
UCGAAACCGCGGCCGGCAAGGCGUUCAUCACGUCCGAUACCGGCAAGGAUGGCGCGACCACGAUCAAGAUGUACUCGGUCAUCAUCUCCGGAGAGAAAUUCACCGGCUACAUCAUCGCGCAGGCCCCAAGCCUCUCUCAGAUGAGGCCAUGCGCAAGAUGUUCGCCUCUGCGACGCUGCGCAACGAAGUGCCGACCGAGGAACAGCUCAGCCUGAUGCCGUUCAAGAUCGGCGAGCUCAGCGAUUUCAAAACCGUUCGAACCCUGGCGCCGCGCUCGUCGAUCC